ACUUUGAUUAUGGCUCGGGACGAACGCUGGCGGCGCGCCUAACACAUGCAAGUCGAGCGGGAAGCUUUUUAAGGAUUCUUCGGAUGAAUUAAAAAGUGGAGAGCGGCGGACGGGUGAGUAACGCGUGAGAAACCUGCCCUAUACAGGGGGAUAGCCAUUGGAAACGAUGAUUAAUACCCCAUAUGACCACGGUAUCGCAUGAUACAGCGGUGAAAACUCCGGUGGUAUAGGAUGGUCUCGCGUCUGAUUAGCUAGUUGGUGGGGUAACGGCCUACCAAGGCGACGAUCAGUAGCCGGCCUGAGAGGGUGACCGGCCACACUGGAACUGAGACACGGUCCAGACUCCUACGGGAGGCAGCAGUGGGGAAUAUUGCACAAUGGGCGAAAGCCUGAUGCAGCGACGCCGCGUGAACGAUGAAGGCUUUCGAGUCGUAAAGUUCUGUUCUUGGGGAAGAUAACGACGGUACCCAAGGAGAAAGCCCCGGCUAAAUACGUGCCAGCAGCCGCGGUA
rnacentral:rRNA from 1 species